UAAACGAUGUCAACUGGUUGUUGGGUCUUCACUGACUCAGUANCGAAGCUAACGCGUGAAGUUGACCGCNUGGGAGUACGCCCGCAAGGUUAAAACUCAAAGGAAUUGACGGGGACCCGCACAAGCGGUGGAUGAUGUGGUUUAAUUCGAUGCAACGCGAAAAACCUUACCCACCUUUGACAUGUACGGAAGAUCGCAGAGACGCGAUUGUGCUCGAAAGAGAGCCGUAACACAGGUGCUGCAUGGCUGUCGUCAGCUCGUGUCGUGAGAUGUUGGGUUAAGUCCCGCAACGAGCGCAACCCUUGCCAUUAGUUGCUACAUUCAGUUGGGCACUCUAAUGGGACUGCCGGUGACAAACCGGAGGAAGGUGGGGAUGACGUCAAGUCCUCAUGGCCCUUAUAGGUGGGGCUACACACGUCAUACAAUGGCUGGUACAAAGGGUUGCCAACCCGCGAGGGGGAGCUAAUCCCAUAAAGCCAGUCGUAGUCCGGAUCGUAGUCUGCAACUCGACUACGUGAAGUCGGAAUCGCUAGUAAUCGUGGAUCAGAAUGUCACGGUGAAUACGUUCCCGGGUCUUGUACACACCGCCCGUCACACCAUGGGAGCGGGUUCUGCCAGAAGUAGGUAGCCUAACCGUAAGGAGGGCGCUUACCACGGCAGGGUUCGUGACUGGGGUGAAGUCGUAACAAGGUAACC
rnacentral:rRNA from 1 species